rnacentral:rRNA from 1 species
UGGGGAAUUUUGGACAAUGGGCGCAAGCCUGAUAGCAGCCAUGCCGCGUGUCUGAAGAAGGCCUUCGGGUUGUAAAGGACUUUUGUCAGGGAAGAAAAGGAUAGGGUUAAUACCCCUGUCUGAUGACGGUACCUGAAGAAUAAGCACCGGCUAACUACGUGCCAGCAGCCGCGGUAAUACGUAGGGUGCGAGCGUUAAUCGGAAUUACUGGGCGUAAAGCGGGCGCAGACGGUUACUUAAGCAGGAUGUGAAAUCCCCGGGCUCAACCUGGGAACUGCGUUCUGAACUGGGUGACUAGAGUGUGUCAGAGGGAGGUAGAAUUCCACGUGUAGCAGUGAAAUGCGUAGAGAUGUGGAGGAAUACCGAUGGCGAAGGCAGCCUCCUGGGAUAACACUGACGUUCAUGCCCGAAAGCGUGGGUAGCAAACAGGAUUAGAUACCCUGGUAGUCCACGCCCUAAACGAUGUCGAUUAGCUGUUGGGCAGCUUGACUGCUUAGUAGCGAAGCUAACGCGUGAAAUCGACCGCCUGGGGAGUACGGUCGCAAGAUUA